AAACUUCCAAAUUAAGGUGCAUUGGCAAGAAUGCAACAUAUUUUGAUCCAUUGGCUUGGAAGGAGGGAAUUCAUCAGAAGGGUCUACCCCAUGCUCUUGGAACCUCAAGAAGAGACAAGUUUACCCAACUCACAGUGCUCACUGCUGCAAAGAAGAACAAGCACACAGGCAAAAAGUUUUCCCAGCAAGAAUGCCAGGGUGAAAGGAAAGAUCAAUUGGACCAGAGCACAAGUGCUGCUCCAGUUACUUGGCAGAGUACCUAAUAGUGAUCCACCACAAUACCACCAUAUAUCUGUUUGGGAAUAAACAAGGGCAAGUUGACUGCUUAAGAGUGAUGACAUGCAACUCAGUCUCUUGCAACACCACCUGAGAAAAGGAAGCACUAGCAGGAAGAACAAAUUGAUGGAGAGGAAAAGUGAUGAAUACAGAUAAGAAGCACAGCUGGUGGAGGCUCAUGUGCCAGUUUACUGGGCCUCAGGACAUUCUCCUCUAGAAGGAGGAGACAGCAUGACCCCCACUUUCUUUUAUUUUAUUAUAAUUUAAG
rnacentral:lncRNA from 1 species